rnacentral:lncRNA from 1 species
CUAAAUUAACUGUUACAGAGGACUACUAUUAUUAUUAGCAAUAAUAAGACUUAAUUGUGGUGUUCUAGUCAAAGAAUAGUUUACCAAAGUAAGAGAAUUACAACUCGAGAAGAAUUUGACAAUUAAUAUUAAUGAUAAUAAUAUAAGAUCUAGUUUAAAUAGUUUGGUAAAUUAUCUACAUUCCCCCGUGCUUAAAUCUUAAAAUUUUAUCCUAGUCAAAUCUCUGUCCCUAGAAUACAUGGGACAACUAGGGACCGUUUGGUUCCUUGCAGUUGUAACUGCACAAUAAUUAUAACUAUAUAUAAAUACAAAUUUAAUAUUUAAUUUGAUGUAUUUAACUCUAACGGCUGCAGAAGAAGAUUCAACUGCAGCAGUUGAAACUACGCUCAAAUUGUCCGUAAUUUCAACUGCAGAGUCAGAAAAAGUAAUCUUUAACAAAAGGUAAAAGAUAAGCUUACCUCCUUAAUUAUUUUUUAAACAAAAAAUAAAUUUUCAUCUAUACUAAUCUAUGAAUCCCCAAUAUCUUGCUGACAUGGCAUUACCUCCUUCUUUCAAAACUCCUUCCUUUCAUCUCCCAACCUCCAAAACCUCUCAUCUUCCAAAACCGUUCCCUCCUCAUCUCCCAAUAAAACCACAAUUAAAUGCAUAUAAUUGCACCAAAACUAUUCCCUCUCAUCUCCCAAACUCCAAAACUCCUCAUCUUCCAAAACCGUUUCCUCCUCAUCUUCUAAUAAAACCACAAUUGAAUGCAUGUACUUCAACAAAAUUUUGUAGAGUUAUUGACCUUCCACCUGUUGAAUUGAGAGCGCAAUAGAAUAGAAGGUUCGAUUCCUUAUAGCUCUACUUCUAGCAGUAGUUUCUUUUUUCAUUUUUCACAUUUAAUUUGUUGUUCGCUUGGAGCUUAGGAAAGCAUUUUUGGGUGUUUUUUUUUUUAUUUUUGGCAUAUUUUAUGUUUUUUUUAAUUCGUUCUAAUUUCUCGAAAAGUUCCCUUUUGUUUCAGAAAGAUGAUUUUUUUUUGUCUUGAAUGUUUAGAAUAUUUUUCCCAAUAUUAUUAUGACGAUUUUUUCUCCCUUUUUUGAGAAGCUUAUUCAAGGGGCUUUUUAUUGUUGGUUUUAUUGUUGGUUUCUAUAUUUUUCCUCUUAAAUAUAAACCGACACUAAUAUGACACUGAUAAUAUUGGAUUAUUAUCAUAGUGUAUUAUACAAUAAUUAAAAUAUCGCGUCGAUGUAGUGUGUGUGUGUGUAUAUAUAUAUAUAUAUAUAUAUAUAAAUAUACUCUUCAUCUUAAUUACAAGACUCCUAUCAUCAUUUUUUAAAGAGUAUUCAUUUUCAGCCAUUUAUUUUUGUGUCCACUCGAUGGAUAAGAGAACAAUAUUGAAAAUAUAUGAAAUUUGAUUUCUAAACACUUCAAGUGGUAUAGAUCAUGCUCAGCGGNAGCCAUAUGAAAGGUCAUAUGUAUUGCAUGCCUAGCAUUCCUCUAUUGUGAAGGGUAAAUUGCAUGUUUGGCCCACCUUUUUUUUUUUUUUCCAAAUUUUAAUUUAUUAUAAUUUUUAAUUUGAACUUUUUAAAAUUAUUAUAAGUAACUCCUAUAAUUCAAUUUAGUUUAUUAAAUUUUAAUGCAUCAUUAAUAUAAAAAUAAUAUAAUAUUUUAAUUAUUUGUGCAUUAUUAAUUACAACACAACUAUAUCACUUUUACAUUAUCGAUAUAUCAAUAUUUAAUAAACUAAAUUGAGUUAUAAAAUUUAAUUGUAAUAAUUCUGAAGUUGGAAUAAAAAAUUAUCAUAAAUUAAAAUUUCAGGACCAAAUUAUCACACGCGUUGUAGUGUAAGGACCAAACGUCCAAUUUAUCCAACUAUGAAUUAUUGAAUUUUGGUUGGUUUUUAGCCGUUCUAAGAGUGCACCGUGCACCAAGUGCAUGCAAUAGUUUCUUUUUUGAGUUGCCCAAUUUAGAAACAUCUGGAUGGGGCGAAAAGUUGCAUCUGACGAAUUUUUUUUUUUAGCCCCUUUUUUUUCUAACAUUAAUUAACUGAUGUGUCGGGGUUUAUGCGCACGCGGUAAAUAAACGAUAAUCAGGGGGUUCUAACAAGUGUGAGGCUACUCUGCCAUCGAAAGGAUGGAGUCUUCCAUGCUUCUAGUUCGUUUUUGAUGUUGCGACUUUCGAAUCGUCGAUCGGCUCCGUAAAACUUGAUCUAGAGUAUUUAAAGUAUCUAGAAAAUAAAUUUUAUGAUUUUUUGAUAUCAUUUGUUUAGUGAUCGAAGGGGUUCAAAAUCAAUAAUUUUAAUGAUCGCAGUGAGCCGUUUGCAAGUUUAACGGUGUAGAAAAAUCCAAAUCACGUGAAAUUUUGAUAGAAAAUUCUUUAUGCUAUAUAAAACAAGAUUAAUAUCUUUGAUCUAAAAUUUUAAUGUCAUAUUAUCACGUUUUGUAAGAUUUUUAUUUUCAGCCGUUGAUUUUGAGCCCCUUCGUUCACUAGGCAAAUAAUAUCAAAAAAUUGCAUAAUUUAUUUUCUAGAUACUUCAAAUACUCUAGAUCAAGUUUAACAGAGCCGAUCGACGAUUCGAAAGUCGCAACAUCGAAAACGAGUUGGAAGCACAGAAGGCUCCGUGCUUCCGAUAGCAUAGUAGCCUUACUCUUCUAAUAAUACCUGAUAUAGAAAAUUCUAAAUGAUGCGAUGAGUGCUGAAUUAAUUGUUACAGAGGACUAUUAUUAUUAUUAGCAAUAAUAAGACUUAAUUGUGGUGUUCUAGUCAAAGAAUAGUUUACCAAAGUAAGAGAAUUACAACUCGAGAAGAAUUCGACAAUUAAUAUUAAUAAUAAUAAUAUAAGAUCUAGUUUAAAUAGUUUGGUAAAUUAUUUACAUUCCUCCGUGCUUAAAUCUUAAAAUUUUAUCCUAGUCAAAUCUCUGUCCCUAGACUACAUUGG